UCCCACCUGGUGCCUGACUGCGGUAGUCAAGCCGCUACUGAGGAGCCCAGCAGUGGGCCCAGGGUACCCACACAUGAGGGUCCCUCUCUGAGUGUCCCCGGGGGGUGAUUACUCGUCGGCCUCUGUGGCCCCCUCCUACAUGGGACAGAGCCGGCUGGUGGUUGCCUGGGGCUGGAGGGACCCACAGUGACCCCCAUGCCCUCAUCUCUCCCUAAAGCUCUCGGGUCUGCGGUCAGCUGAUCAGGCGGGAGGAUGCCUGUCACCCCAAGUGCAGUCUGGUCCCGGCCCCUCUGCGGCCCCUCCGUGCAGUCCUGACUCUAGGGUCCUCACGUCCGGCGGAUGACGUGGGACAGCAGUGCCGGCCGUCCUGUCCAGCCUCUGCCAGCCUCCAGCACUGGCAGGUCCCCAGCUGCCCUCGGCACGACCUCCCUUCAUCUGCGUGAGAGCCAGGCCACUGUUCCCUGCCGUCACCGUCACCUGGUGCUACAGCCGUGGUGUGACCGUGAAGCUGCAGGCGGGCAGCACGGAGGAAACAGGCCAGCCCUCACAUCACCACCAGGGCAGACGGCCAUUUUCCAGAUGUUUCUCUUGCGUUAACAUUCACUUGAUUUAGACAGAACGUUUCCCAAAACGGAUUACACACGUCCAGCUGUUUCUACUCGACGUGGUCCUCUCCCUGACAACACACCGCCGUGUUCGUCCACCCCAUCGGCUGCUCCGGGAGGCCCUGGUGGCCUCGCCCCGUCACUGAGCGACCCCAGGCUGCUGCACUUCCGCACGUCACCCGAUUUCACGUUUGUGCUUCUAUCUUGUUCUCCUCCAGCUACUGUCCCCUGCCCUCGUCAUUAUGAGGACUGGGAAGCCUUGUGGCCACAUUUGUGACCAUUGGGGCCAGGCCUGGGAGCACCUGCUGAACAAUGGGGCCCUGGGUUUCUCCCGUCUGGUCCGCAGAGGCCGACCACUGGCCCAGAGCCGUGGGUGUGUGAAGGUGCAGGGGGAUUGCCGUCCUGGGGCCUGUGGUCCAAAACACUGUGCUUCUUCUUGGCUGGUCUUGGGUGAGGUUACCUAGACCAGGCCAGACUUCCGACUGCAAAAAUCACGCCCCUCGGAGGUCUGCUAACGGAGAUGAGAUCCCCCACUCUGCCGGAGGCCCUUCUGUGAGAGUCCACAGAAAUGCGAUUUUCACGAAGCAUGUACCAUUUAAAGGGGAACAAGAAAACGGAGUUAUUUUUAUUUGGGGCUGUAAAGUAUUUAGAGACUCUGGUGAGAGAAGGCAGGGCUGAUUCCCAGGCCGGUGACAGGCGUAUUCUCAAGGUCAGCGGUCAGCAUGACCCGUGUUCCCCUGGCAAAGGCCAGUCGCCCGGCCUGGGGCCCCUCUAUGCCGGUGAGUCUGCAGCCCCAGCUCCAGGCUCAGGCCACGGAGACUUGCACACGGCAAGGUGUCGCCGCGUUCUGGGAACACGGGAAAGUGUCAGAUGCUGCUGUGGUUACGGUCUGUCCCCCCUGGUCUCAGAUAAGAGCUGACCCACCGUGGAUGCAGACGAGGCCAGUGCAGUCUGACAGCUCUGUCCCUUCAGUUCGAGGGCCCUUUGCUUGCCUAAGACUUGGAGGCUCAGGGAGCCCCCCGGGAAGAACAAAUCCCAGGGAAUCCAUUCACUGGGAAGACAGAUCCGCAUAUAAACCGCAUCACAAGGCAGGCUGCUGCGUGAAGUCAGAGAGACCCGUGUUUGACUCCUCACUCUGCAACCGGAGGCACUGUGGCCCCGGCAAGCCUCAGUCUCCCCAUCUGUGAAGUGGGGACGCUAACACUCACCUUGCAGGUCAUCGUGAGAAGCAAAGGUACCACAUGGGAGAGAGUGUUUGCAGCGUUCCCAACAGACCCUGCCGUUAACACCCACCAUAUAAAAAGAACUUUUGGUUUCUUUUACUAUUGGUUUCUACCAGUAGUAAGACAGACAACCCACUAGAAACACUGGACAACGUUAUGAACAGAUAUUCGCAGAAAGGAGGGGCAAAUGGCCAAGAAACAGGUGCAAACACCCUCAACUUCUGCAAAUGGGGAAAUUCAAAUUGAACGACAGUGAUGUUCUUCUCCCAAGUGAUUGAGAAAAUAUUUUAAGCAUUGAUAAUACGGUGGGUCAGGAAGUCUGGGGCACCAGGCACCCUCUGGUACUGUGGGGGGAAGAAGCCCCAGAACGGGCUUUCUGGGGGGCUUUUUGCCAGAUUUAUUCAAAUGAAAGCUCACAUCCCUGUG